CCUACGGGAGGCUGCAGUGGGGGAUAUUGCACAAUGGGGGGAACCCUGAUGCAGCGACGCCGCGUGGGUGAAGAAGCGCCUCGGCGCGUAAAGCCCUGUCAGCAGGGAAGAAAAUGACGGUACCUGAAGAAGAAGCCCCGGCUAACUACGUGCCAGCAGCCGAGGUAAUACGUAGGGGGCAAGGGUGAUCCGGAGUUACUGGGUGUAAAGGGGGCGCAGACGGGUAUGCAAGCCAGGAGUGAAAGGCCGGGGCCCAACCCCGGGACUGCGCUUGAAACUGGGUGGCUGGAGUGCAGGAGGGGCAGGCGGAAGUCCUGGUGUAGCGGUGAAAUGCGUAGAUAUCAGGAGGAACCCCGGUGGCGAAGGCGGCCUGCUGGACUGCAACUGACGUUGAGGCCCGAAAGCGUGGGGAGCAAACAGGAUUAGAUACCCUAGUAGUC
rnacentral:rRNA from 1 species